AGACCCGAAACCCGGUGAUCUAGCCAUGGGCAGGUUGAAGGUUGGGUAACACUAACUGGAGGACCGAACCGACUAAUGUUGAAAAAUUAGCGGAUGACCUGUGGCUGGGGGUGAAAGGCCAAUCAAACCGGGAGAUAGCUGGUUCUCCCCGAAAGCUAUUUAGGUAGCGCCUCGUGAAUUCAUCUCCGGGGGUAGAGCACUGUUUCGGCUAGGGGGCCAUCCCGGCUUACCAACCCGAUGCAAACUGCGAAUACCGGAGAAUGUUAUCACGGGAGACACACGGCGGGUGCUAACGUCCGUCGUGAAGAGGGAAACAACCCAGACCGCCAGCUAAGGUCCCAAAGUCAUGGUUAAGUGGGAAACGAUGUGGGAAGGCCCAGACAGCCAGGAUGUUGGCUUAGAAGCAGCCAUCAUUUAAAGAAAGCGUAAUAGCUCACUGGUCGAGUCGGCCUGCGCGGAAGAUGUAACGGGGCUAAACCAUGCACCGAAGCUGCGGCAGCGACACUGUGUGUUGUUGGGUAGGGGAGCGUUCUGUAAGCCUGUGAAGG
rnacentral:rRNA from 5 species